rnacentral:rRNA from 1 species
UGGGGAAUAUUGCACAAUGGGCGCAAGCCUGAUGCAGCCAUGCCGCGUGUAUGAAGAAGGCCUUCGGGUUGUAAAGUACUUUCAGCGAGGAGGAAGGCGUUCUGGUUAAUAACCGCAACGAUUGACGUUACUCGCAGAAGAAGCACCGGCUAACUCCGUGCCAGCAGCCGCGGUAAUACGGAGGGUGCAAGCGUUAAUCGGAAUUACUGGGCGUAAAGCGCACGCAGGCGGUCUGUCAAGUCGGAUGUGAAAUCCCCGGGCUCAACCUGGGAACUGCAUCCGAAACUGGCAGGCUAGAGUCUUGUAGAGGGGGGUAGAAUUCCAGGUGUAGCGGUGAAAUGCGUAGAGAUCUGGAGGAAUACCGGUGGCGAAGGCGGCCCCCUGGACAAAGACUGACGCUCAGGUGCGAAAGCGUGGGGAGCAAACA